GUAGGGGGCAAGCGUUAUCCGGAUUUACUGGGUGUAAAGGGAGCGUAGGCGGCUGGGCAAGUCAGAAGUGAAAGCCCGGGGCUCAACCCCGGGACUGCUUUUGAAACUGUCCAGCUAGAGUGUCGGAGGGGUAGGCGGAAUUCCUAGUGUAGCGGUGAAAUGCGUAGAUAUUAGGAGGAACACCAGUGGCGAAGGCGGCCUACUGGACGAUGACUGACGCUGAGGCUCGAAAGCGUGGGGAGCAAA
rnacentral:rRNA from 1 species